CUGGAAGUCAGCAGGUGUUGGUAUUUAGGAGAAAGUCCCUUUCCCUAGACUUCAGUAAACUAAACAGGAAAGGUUUUGAAUAAAACGUGCCUGAUAGAUCGACGAGGGGCAGAAUUGAGAUGAAGCUAUAAUUGUAGAACCAAAUACCCCAGAAUUGCUACUGCAUUUCUUUGGAAAAUCUUAUCUAUCCUCCUUUAAAGUAAAGGGUACAGUAAUUUCCAAAUAUGGCCAACUGCUAAUAUUUUAGUUCCUUUUGCUCAGUUCACUAAGAAGUGAGUUCUCUACUGACAUCUCCUGAAGAUGCACAUCCUGAUGGGAAGACAUCUGUUAAAGAAUGCUGUUAAUCCCAGAAGAAUAAAGUUAGCCAGAAAUGAGUCUGAAGAUCCUAUAACCCCAGACGCUGUGUGAAGGAGAACUGCUGUCCACACUUAGCAAUUCAGGGUUUGCCUCUUGGGGCACCUGCUGGACCCGGGCCUUAAGGAAAAAAUGAAUCUGACCCAAAAAUGGAGAGAAAAUACAGGAUCGAGGUGUCAAAGAUGCCACAAAACCUUGAGAGCAUGCUUAAAGAAGAUCAGAAGAAAGAAGAGCUGGGACACCAUCUGUUUGGGUGCUUCCUGAUGUUCAAAACUACUGGAAUGCUAUUGAUGAGCCUCCACAUCCAUCCUUCAGUUGCACAGAGAAGCAGUCCCCAUCAGCCACUCUCUGGAAAUUCCCCUGUGCUCCCCUCAGGCCUUUGAAAUGACAGGCAGUGUAGCAUAGUGGUUAGAAAAGCAGACUUCAGAGCCGGGACACAUACUUGAUUGUGUCACACUUGGCCACUCCCAGCUGUGUGACUGUCUCAGAGGCUCCUCAUCAUAAAACUAGGAUAAUGAAACUCAGUAUUAAAUGUCCUAAGGCAUGCAAAGUUGAUGGGAUAGUGUCUAAUGUGUACCAGUAGUCAAAACAUUGCGAGUAUCAACAUAUAUUCUGCUAUUAGAACAUUUUAAAUACUACAUUGUCAUCGUCCAGUUACCGUAUCUUUGCCUAAUCAGAGAGGUUGUCUCACUACCUUUAUGUACACAAUGGAAAAUUUGUAUCCUUAGCAUUACUGUCGAUCCUGAGUAUUAAACCAAAAUAAUAAGAACAAUAAAAAUAGAAUGAACCACCUAUGAUUUGUAACUGGAAAAAAUUUAAAAUACUGGAAAUCAAAAAAGGAAAUACUAGAAAUCUAAAGCAAAUACAGAACCAGUUUCAGUUCAGCAACAUACAGUUAUAUCAGUAAAGGGGAAAAAAAAAACACGUUAGCAAAAACAUGCUGUCUGAUGAAAAUUCAAAAUAUACUUUCUUCCAAUUCAAAAUCAACUGUGAGAAAGAAAAGAAACACCCAGUUAACAGAAAUGAGACUAACAGGUCAGGUCACUGUCACUUGAAGUUCAGUGCCUGAGUGUCAGGCACCAGACCUACCCAAGUGUUGGGAAAUGUAUCCUGUUUGCCAACUGCUGGGAAUCAUCUGUCUAUACAUUCACCACUUCAUUCCUGGAGUUACACAAGGGAACAGAGACAUUAGAUUUUGCAAUAGUCUAAACUUUGUCAGCUAUGCUAUAUCCUUUUUUGGGAAACAUAUCUUCAUCCAACAAAAUUUUAGUAAAUUAUUUAAUAUAUUUUUGCUUUAUCUUUUAUGACAUUAUCUGUGUUCCAAUAAAAACAACUGAAAAAGAAAACAGUUCC